rnacentral:misc_RNA from 1 species
UUUCCGUAGGUGAACCUGCGGAAGGAUCAUUAUUGAACCUACAUCCGGGGCGCCGCGGCCCUCAGCACCGGUGGAAACGCCGUGCUGCGGGGGCCGCGCGUGCACUCGUCCAAACCAAACCCCUGUGAACCUUACGGGAUGGCCCGGGUUAGCGCCCGGUGCCGUUCCGCUUUAUACAAACACUUAUCAAAGAAUGAACUGAAGGCUGUCUGACCGCUGGAUAACAAACUGAAACAACUUUCAACAACGGAUCUCUUGGCUCUC